CCUACGGGAGGCAGCAGUGGGGGAUAUUGCACAAUGGGGGGAACCCUGAUGCAGCGACGCCGCGUGGGCGAUGGAGUGCUUCGGCAUGUAAAGCCCUAUCAGCCGGGAAGAAAAUGACGGUACCUGACUAAGAAGCCCCGGCCAAAUACGUGCCAGCAGCCGCGGGAAUACGUAUGGGGCAAGCGUUAUCCGGAUUUACCGGGGGUAAAGGGAGCGUAGGCGGCCUGGCAAGCCUGAUGUGAAAUACCGGGGCCCAACCCCGGGGCUGCAUUGGGAACUGCCAGGCUGGAGGGCCGGUGGGGCAGGCGGAAUUCCGAGUGGAGCGGUGGAAUGCGUAGAUAUUAGGGGGAACACCAGUGGCGAAGGCGGCCUGCUGGACGGUGACUGACGCUGAGGCUCGAAAGCGUGGGGAGCAAACAGGAUUAGAUACCCCUGUAGUC
rnacentral:rRNA from 1 species